AUGACAUCGGAGAUGGCAAAGGAGAGACGCCAAGCUUACCUCUGUAAGUGUGUGUGUGUGUGUGUGUGUGUGUGUGUGUGUGUGUAUUUUGUUUGUUUUUUAUUUGAGACGAAGCCUUGUUCUUUUCCCCUAGGCUGGGCUGAGAUGGCAGAAUCUCGACUCAAGAAAUCCCCCAGCUCCCAGGUUCGAGGACUUCUCCGGCUUCCGCGUCCCAAGUAGCUGGGAUCAGGGAUGCCUGCCACCACCCCCAGCUACCAUCAUUUUAUGAAUGCAUAUUUCCAUCUGGGUGAAAAAAAACAUCGCAAACCCCUUUCUCUUCCUACUGAGCACCUGUGAACAGUGACCUGCAGUUUGUGGCUGUAGCCAGUCCUCAGGGAGCCUGGUGUUCUUACAUUUCAUUCUGAGGCUCACAUUCUCAGUCACCCUGCAGGAGAACACCCGCCCCAUCCUGGGUCAUUACAGGGUGUGCCCAUCCAUCUGCUGCAUCUGAGGAGCUGGGUCCAGCUUCUACGGUGAAUCCAUAUAUUUCUGUGUUUCCUGGAUAAGGAAGAGGAAAGGAGCUGAGCUGGGGGAGGAAGAAGAGGUAAUAUUAACUGACUCCUUAUUUUGUACCAGGCACUGUACUAGUUACAUAUCCUUUUAUCUCAUGUAAUUCUUACCAAACAGUAAGGGGGUUGGGAGUGAUAGGGACAAUACUGUUACCUCCAUUUUAGGGUGAGAAAAUGAAGGCUCAGAAAGGUUAAAUAACUUGCCCAAGGUCACUCAGUUGCUAAGAGCCAGGUUAUGAAACAGAAGCUUUAUAUUAGAUGGGUUCAAAUUUAUUUUCAAUUUCCCUGCUCCAUUCUGAAUAUGCAUUGGCAUUUACCCUUGGGCUAUGUAGGACAAGUGCUUUGUCACCAAAACACCUAUUGUGAACUCUUUCUGCCCUAGUAUGAUUCAUGCAUUUUAUCUUCUUCAAACUAAAAACCUUUAAGAGUCAGGAACCUGCCAUGCAGACUCUCAACUUAAACCUCAGCCACUUUUACCCUAAAAUUCAGACUUGUGUAGACAUCUCUAGAAGACUUGGUGGACUAAUCUUUAAGAGUUCGUUUGCAUGAGGGAGGAAGGGGAGCCCAAAUUUGGACAAAGUCCGUUUCUUAGAGUUCCUCCAGCCCAGUCUGAGUGGUAGAAAUCAGGAACUGAAAAUAAAUCUGAAAGUUGUUUGAAAUCAUGGUAAGACAUGGGGAACAUAAUAUACUGGGGGCUUGUGUUAUAAAUGAGGCUAUUUUUCUAUUUUUAGUAUUUUGUAUUUUUAGUAGAGAUGGAGUUUCACCAUGUUGGCCAGGCUGGUCUCGAGCUCCUGAUCUCAAGUGAUCCCCCCCACCUCAGCCUCCAAAAGUGCUGGGAUUACAGGCGUGAGCUACCGCGCCCAGCCCACUGUAAGUGUGUAUAUAUAUGGGCUUAGAGGCGUGAGCUACCGCGCCCAGCCCACUGUAAGUGUGUAUAUAUAUAAUAGAAAUAGAAUACAUAUGGCUGGGCACGGUGGCUCACGCCUGUAAUCCCAGCACUUUGGGAGGCCGAGGCGGGUGGAUCACGAGGUCAGGAGAUUGAGACCAUCCUAGCUAACACAGUGAAACUCCGUUUCUACUAAAAAUACAAAAAAUUAGCCGGGCGUGGUGGCGGGCGCCUGUGGUCCCAGCUACUCCGGAAGCUUAGGCAGGAGAAAGGUGUGAACCCAGGAGGCAGAGCUUGCAGUGAGCCAAGAUCGCGCCACUGCACUCCAGCCUGGGAGACAGAAGGAGACUCUGUCUCAAAAAAUAUAUUUAUAUAUAAUAUAGUAGAUAACAUUAUAUAUGCUAUAUAAUAUAUUGUAUAUAUACUAUAUAAUAUAAAUGUAUAAUAUAUAUAUUACAUAUAAUACAAAUAUAUAAUAUAUAUUAUAUUAUAUAUAAUAUAAACACAUUUCUGGCCCAGAAAUGUGUUUCAACUAGACGUAGCCCCCCAGUUCUUGGCCAGGGCAGUGACAGCGCUCCCGAGUAGCAGGGGAGGUGGGGAGAGACAUGAGAUCCAGCACAGGGUGAGCUCAGCAAAGGGGUGGGGACUGACCCUAGAGUUCAGGUCAUCCUCGCAACUCUUCUGUGGAAUCCGCAACACCUCAGUUUCCACUUAUUUUGGAGGUAGUUUAACAUCGUCAGUAUCA
ensembl:lncRNA